rnacentral:tRNA from 1 species
GCGGUGGUUCAGAGGUAGAAUUCUCACCUUCCAUAUGGGAGAACCAGGUUCGAUUCCUGGCCAAUGCA